GAUGAACGCUGGCGGCGUGCCUAAUACAUGCAAGUCGAGCGAACAGACGAGGAGCUUGCUCCUCUGACGUUAGCGGCGGACGGGUGAGUAACACGUGGAUAACCUACCUAUAAGACUGGGAUAACUUCGGGAAACCGGAGCUAAUACCGGAUAAUAUAUUGAACCGCAUGGUUCAAUAGUGAAAGACGGUUUUGCUGUCACUUAUAGAUGGAUCCGCGCCGCAUUAGCUAGUUGGUAAGGUAACGGCUUACCAAGGCAACGAUGCGUAGCCGACCUGAGAGGGUGUCCGGCCACGCUCGAACUGAGACACGGUCCAGACUCCUACGAGAGGCACCAGUAGGGAAUCUUCCGCAAUGGGCGAAAGCCUGACGGAGCAACGCCGCGUGAGUGAUGAAGGUCUUCGGAUCGUAAAACUCUGUUAUUAGGGAAGAACAAAUGUGUAAGUAACUAUGCACGUCUUGACGGUACCUAAUCAGAAAGCCACGGCUAACUACGUG
rnacentral:rRNA from 1 species